rnacentral:lncRNA from 1 species
GAAACACUCUGCAAAGAAUCCUACACUGCAGGAAAUAGUCCUGUUCUAUUUAAAUAUUUGCUAGUUAUAGAAAUUACUUCCUUUCCAAUUGCUUUGCUUCUUUUGCUUUUUAAAUUGUUCGGUUUAAUUAUCAAACUGCUUUCAAGUACAGGAUAGCUGGGUUAUUUUUUUUAAGAGUACUAUUAGUUUUGAGUUAUUUCUGUAACUAGUACCUGUUUUUAUUAGAUGCUUCUCACCUCCCACAAAAACGAUUUGAAAAUAAUUACAGCAUCAGAAUAAGUAACACGGGUAUAAUUAAAUUUUAAGGGAUAAGUUUAAGUGACAACUAAACAGUGAUUUUUUCAUUCUAAUAGACAGAUCUUGUCCCUUCAACCCCUAAAAAAUCAAAAUAGCUAAACAUUUCCUUCUUUUUUUUCUUAUCAAAGCCAAAACUUAUUAUAAUUUUAUUUAAAAUGGGAAAGAGGACAGUAUCAUGUCAGAUUAAGUGCAUUAAAUGACUCCUGGGGAUAUUUGAUUAAAUGUUUUGGAGGCAAGUGCACAGUGACAUGAGCCUAAUGAACUACCAACAGCUCUGAUUUGAUCCAAAUGACACCACUUUAAGGUUAUUUAGAAAGGUCACUGUAAAAAUAACAUCGUGUUUUUAGCAUCAGCUUCGAUACCUGCUUGCUCAGUAGAGCAGCACACACCAAGCAAUGACAAAAGCAGUUUUAUGAAAGUUGAGUAGUUAUGGCUUAACUCUGUCGUUUACAUCAGGAUCUAAUUAUAGAAGGCUGGGUCACGCCGCUGGCUCUGCCGGCUUCCUCCAGCACACCAGCCCGCGCGGCGGACGGGGAAAGCCUACCACGGGCACGGCUCUCCACCUGGCAGGAGCCACGUCUCCACUCCUGGUCAGAAAAGGAGGAAAUUGUCUGCUGUGCAAUACGGUUGUGAAAACAACAGAACUGCGUAGAGGAGGACAGCACUUUGUAAAAGAGGAGGCAGCCCUGAAAAUGAAUACGGA